CACUGCCGAGAAAAGCCUCUAGAUAGAAAAUAGGUGCCCGUACCGCAAACCGACACAGGUAGUCAAGAUGAGAAUUCUAAGGUGAGCGAGCGAACUCUCGUUAAGGAACUCGGCAAAAUGACCCCGUAACUUCGGGAGAAGGGGUGCUCUUUAGGGUUAACGCCCAGAAGAGCCGCAGUGAAUAGGCCCAAGCGACUGUUUAUCAAAAACACAGGUCUCUGCUAAACCGUAAGGUGAUGUAUAGGGGCUGACGCCUGCCCGGUGCUGGAAGGUUAAGAGGAGUGGUUAGCUUCUGCGAAGCUACGAAUCGAAGCCCCAGUAAACGGCGGCCGUAACUAUAACGGUCCUAAGGUAGCGAAAUUCCUUGUCGGGUAAGUUCCGACCCGCACGAAAGGCGUAACGAUUUGGGCAC
rnacentral:rRNA from 1 species